CUAAGAAGUUGACUGAAG
rnacentral:miRNA from 1 species